AUACAGAGGGUGCAAGCGUUAAUCGGAAUUACUGGGCGUAAAGCGCGCGUAGGUGGGUAUGCAAGUCAGAUGUGAAAGCCCCGGGCUCAACCUGGGAACUGCAUUCGAUACUGGCAGACUAGAGUAUAGUAGAGGCAAGUGGAAUUCCGGGUGUAGCGGUGAAAUGCGUAGAUAUCCGGAGGAACAUCAGUGGCGAAGGCGACUUGCUGGACUAAUACUGACGCUGAGGAGCGAAAGCGUGGGGAGCAAACGGGAUUAGAAACCCGGGUAGUCC
rnacentral:rRNA from 1 species